UAAUUUCAAAAUCUUACUUGUUUAAUUUCAAACAACACACGUGACACACGUGACUAAACCUGAUUGGUUGUUGUCAUAGUAACACGUCACGGUGCUAUUUGAAACUUGUUCAGUUUAGUUCAGUUGUUCACGGUGCAUGCGGUUGCUUGCAUUAAACGUAUAAACUGUUAAAUUAGAUGGCGACUCUGCAUUAAACGUAUUUAUUUAAUUAAUCGGCGAUCAUAUUUCACCAGAGGACUAAGAUAAAACAACUCGAUUUAAAAUAUGAGCAGUUUUAGUGGAUCUGACGUUGAGGGAAAAAGUAUUUCGCUUUUUGUUUGGAGAUGAACGAGACAACACGAGGCACAGCGACAUAAAUAUGACCAACCAGAUCCCAAGUAGACAGGAACAAAUGAAGAUAUAGCGCAUAGAAAGACUUAUUCUUGGUGAUCAACUGCUAUUGACAUUUUUGAAUCGGGGCAAAUGUGGAGUGAAGAAAAACGUUUGCAACACAUCCAUUCCAGAGUGCUCUGACAGAUAAAACUGACACGCUUGAUGAGGACACAGUCAAGCUUUAAAAGACCGUGUGAUAAAGCAGUCUUCAAUUACUACGGUGUCUGAAUUGCAAGAAGAAGUCACCCUCCACUUAAACAUGUGACAUCUAAACUGUUUUGUGUUUUAGUUCAGCUUUUUAUAGGUUUAUCUUAAGUUGGUUAAAGGCAGAGUGCACUAUUUUUGAAAGCCAAUGUUAACAUUUGAAAUUACCUAAACAAACAUGCCUCUACCCCAAUAGAAUCUGGACCUUCUUUUGAUAGAGCCACCACACACAUACGCAAUCCCGGCAAGGAUGUCAGUUAGUAGACACGCCCCUUACUGCUGGUUGGCUACAAGUGUGUUUUGGUAGUCGGCCCAAUUUCCUUUUCCAAAGCGUUUUUCAAACAUUGUGCACUCCGUCUUUAAAUUGCACUUAAACAUUUUUUUUCAUUAACUUUUUAUGCAGAGAAUUACAUUAUGAUUAUUAUAUAAUCAUUGCUUAUGAAUAUUUAGUGAUUGCAUAUUCAUAGUGUACUUUUCAUUAAUACAUUUAAUGUUAAUGUUGUACAAUUUGAUAGAAGUAGCUCUGUAAUUGCAUUUCUCUGAUAUUUGUUUUAUAUGUUUCUCUUUGGUCAAGAGAUUAUGUAUGUAUCUGU